UGGGACGACUGCCAGCAGCUCCUUCAGAUCCUUUUUACUACAGAAGAAAGGAAACUCAUUAUUGUUGAGGCCUGGAAGUUGGUUCAGGUGAUGCGGGCUUCCACUUGACCCAUGGAAUUUCAACUCACCAGAGGGUAGGGAGUGCCUCAAGGUCUACUGCCAGGUUCUAGUGAGGGGUCUCUGGGCAGCUGCUAAGCACCCAACUAACAUGGCUAAAAUGUACAGUGUUCAGCAGGUGAUUGAUGAAUCACCAUCAGCCUACCUUGAGAGAUUAAUGGAGGCUUUUAGGGCGUACCCUCCCAUGGACCCUGAGACAGCCGAGCAUAGGUUAGCAGUGGUCCUAGCUUUCAUCGAUCAAGCAGCACCAGAUAUUAGAAAAAAACUUUAGAAGAUACAUGAUUAGCCAGUAAGUUGAUUAAUGACUUGAUGGAGGCAGCAAAUAAAGUAUAAUAGAGAGGCUCCUGCAAAAGACCAGCAAGACUGGGGGCAGAGGAAAGCGAGAGACAGGAGAGGGUCAGAGCAGUGGAAAGGGAAAUGGAUCAAAGCGCCACAGCAGCUGCAGAUGGGAAACAGACUCACAACAUGGUGCGGGUGCUGCCAGCGGCAUCGGCUUCUGAUCCAGAGGAAAGCGAAAACAACUCCAGUGCCUGGCCCAGAUGCAAGCAGCCUUGGUGCUCAAAGACAUCUUGCCAAGGUUGCAACAGGUGUAUACGAUGACUCUGCAUCAGUUCCAGCUCAGGGAGACACCAACACAAGACCUUCCUGGAAGGGACCCUAUGUGGUGAUCCCAGCCACCCCCACUGCAAUCAAGGUUGACUGAAUCACCACCUGGAUACAUCACUCCCACACACGCACAACUGAUCCAGAAUUGAUGGAGCCUCCAAAACCAGCCCCAGAAGACAUGGGGCCUCGACAGAGGUGGACUGUGAAACCUGACCCCCAUAUGGUGCACCUUCUACAGUCUGGCCAGAGCUUCAGACAAGAGCUUCAAUCAACAUUAGAGCUUCAGUCAAGAAUUUCAAUCAAGCAUUUCCUGCCAAACAGAGACUAUUUAAUCUACUUAAGACUCUUGUUACACUAACAUUUUUUUUCUACAGGAUCCCAUGAGAUUGUCAUCAUCACAUUUCACCAAAAAGUAAUCUUGAGAAUACUACGCCCCCUUUCCCUACUGUUGAUAUUGUAAAAUAGUUUACACCUGUUAGUGUUAGUUUUCAAUUAUUUAGGGUUGGGAUUGGAAGGAGAGGUUCAGACUUGGGCAUCUCUUUUUAAUAAGUUUAGGAUUUAGAUGGGAUAGAUAUGCUUAGUAUAGGAUAUAAGUAGACUAUAACUUGCUCAUCAUCUUUUAUGUAUAUAUGCUGUAUAUGUUUGAGCUUUGUAUCAAGUCUAAAUCUUUUAUUUAGACUAAAAGGGGAAUUGUAGGGGAGAGUCCACAAUACUGUCCAUGCCCCAAAGGGGCGUGUACAGGGGUACAUGGGAUAGGCGAGAGAUAAAAGGAAAAAGAGAAAGUAAAUCUCUCUCUCUCUCUUGGAUCCUGGCCACUGCGGGGACCAUAGAGCUCCUCCCAGUAAGUGAUUUCUAUAUUCAAUAAAGUAUCCUGGACCUCC